AACGCUAGCUACAGGCUUAACACAUGCAAGUCGAACGGGGUUUUGAGCUUCGGUUCAAAACUUAGUGGCAAACGGGUGAGUAACACGUAUCCAACCUUCCCCUUACUCGGGUAUAGCCUUUCGAAAGGAAGAGUAAUCCCCGAUAUUAUGUUAUUGAUGCCUAUUAUUAACAUGAAAGAUUUAUCGGUAAGGGUUGGGGAUGCGCUCCAUUAGAUAGUCGGUGAGGUAACGGCUCACCGAGUCUAUGAUGGAUAGGGGUUCUGAGAGGAAGGUCCCCCACAUUGGAACUGCGACACGGUCCAAACUCCUACGGGAGGCAGCAGUGAGGAAUAUUGGUCAAUGGGCGCGAGCCUGAACCAGCCAAGUAGCGUGAAGGAAGACUGCCCUACGGGUUGUAAACUUCUUUUAUACGGGAAUAAAGUGCCUUACGUGUAGGGUUUUGUAUGUACCGUAUGAAUAAGCAUCGGCUAAUUCCGUGCCAGCAGCCGCGGUAAUACGGAAGAUGCGAGCGUUAUCCGGAUUUAUUGGGUUUAAAGGGAGCGUAGGCGGGCUUUUAAGCCAGCUGUGAAAGUUUGCGGCUCAACCGUAAAAUUGCAGUUGGAACUGGUAGCCUUGAGUGUGCAUAAGGUGGAUGGAAUUCGUGGUGUAGCGGUGAAAUGCUUAGAUAUCACGAAGAACUCCGAUUGCGAAGGCAGUCCACUGGGGCACUACUGACGCUGAGGCUCGAAAGUGCGGGUAUCAAACAGGAUUAGAUACCCUGGUAGUCCGCACAGUAAACGAUGGAUACUCGCUGUUGGCGAUACAAUGUCAGCGGCCAAGCGAAAGCAUUAAGUAUCCCACCUGGGGAGUACGCCGGCAACGGUGAAACUCAAAGGAAUUGACGGGGGCCCGCACAAGCGGAGGAACAUGUGGUUUAAUUCGAUGAUACGCGAGGAACCUUACCCGGGCUUGAACUGCAGAUGACGGGAGUGGAGACAUUCCUUCCCUUCGGGGCAUCUGUGGAGGUGCUGCAUGGUUGUCGUCAGCUCGUGCCGUGAGGUGUCGGCUUAAGUGC
rnacentral:rRNA from 1 species